rnacentral:ncRNA from 24 species
UAAAUAUUUCGUAAAUCAGGUGACGCUAGUCUUAAUAGAGAAGUUGGGUGUAAAUCCCAUACGAUCCCGUCGCUGUAAUGGUGAGUGAAUUCAAAUUUAUGCCACUGGAAAUAUCUGGGAAGGCUUGAAUAAACGUUGAACCUAAGUCAGAAGAACUGCCUGAUUAUUUGUUACUACU